AGUCGGUCUGUUGGGUUGUUAUUCCAGUGAUGAUUUUGGGAUGACUGCGAGACAUCACAUUUUAAUCGGAGCAAUUGUAUCAUACAUUGUGUGCAAUUUGUCACUUUGAUGUUUUGACAAGACUUUAUUACACGUGAAUAUUCGUACAACAGUUUAAUUUGUGUGUGUACUGCGGUUCAUCAGGCCGCUAAGGUGUUACCCAUCACACUCGCAACAGAACCCGACAUUACAGGAUACAGUUGCGCCGGCCGUCAUGUUCUGGUUUCAAGGAAUUGCGUGGAAGUCGAGAAAUAGAGGUAAGUACAGGUUUUCCUCAUUUUCCUGUGCUGAAAUUGUUGUCUUUGUUGAACUCAUCUGGUCGCGCAUGCAUCGUUCUAGAAGUCUUAUUCAUACGCGAGCAC